GAAGAUCCAAAUCGUGUGCGUAAUCAUCCAAAUCGUGCAUAUGCUUCGAGAAUCAUAUGUGAAGAUCAAUGAAUCGUCUGGAUUACAAGAUCAAUCGAUAUGUCGUUAAUGCGUCGAACACUUGAAUCAUUUGGUUAAAUUUCGUGCGAAUUGGUACAUUUAGGGUUAAAUCUGGUGUGAAUCGGUAGAUUUAGGGUUUUGAAUGUGUGAAUAGGUGCAACUAUCU
rnacentral:lncRNA from 1 species